GACAAACAAAGCAACGCCCCCACCUCUCACACAUGGACGAUCAUUUCUGCAACAAGAAUAUCCCGAAAUUUCAAAUCGACUAGACGGUAUACUUGGUUUUAGCCAAGUUUCGGAAACACCUACUACACUUAACAAACUGUCAACAACAACAUUUCUUAUUUCGUUAAUUUUAGAUGACCUCUCAGAGAGGUUAAAACUGCGGCAAUUAAAAUGCCCUACACUUAAAUUAUCACUAUAAGCACACAAUGAGGAGCGAAAAAACGAAUUAUCGCACGUAAUAUUACCUAAGUUGCAAGUAUUCAUAACUAAUGACGCUAUAAGGGCUCAAUGAAAAAUUAAUUGCUAAUACAAAAAAAAAAAAAAAUACAAAAUAAUAAAAAUAAAAGGCUAGUACGCACGGGAUCCAUUGGUAACGGUGCUAGCCACAUCUCCAUUAGCGUUGCUUGACUCAGCACUUCCAAAUAAUUGAUCACAUUCAGUCGCACUCACUGUUUUAACGUCACCAUUCAGAAACCUUACGGCAUUUAAAAACAAGGUUAGAGGCAGGUGCGGUAAGAUGAUCAUUUAAAUACACACGGGAAUCAACCUCGCCACCAAUUACAUCGUUUAGUCUGAUCGAGUUAAGCCUAGAAUAGUUCGCCAUAAUCAAAUCCCUGGUAUGAACGGAAUUGAACUUGACCAGCACCAUCCUACCACCGGAAAUAUAACAGCAAUGAUUAAUAUCACUGGGGGCAACCUGCACUCCGCACAAGCGGGCAAUCUGUAUCACUGGCUCACGCAGAUUUGUAAUUGAUCUCGGCAUGCCACUUAUAAGAAUAUCCGCGCGAUUGAGACGUCUUUGCUGAACCAAAUUAAACUGCUCCAAUUGCCGUAUCCUCUCACACAGCCUAGCAUCAACAUUGGCAAUAUUUUGCUGACAAACAAGAACAUCCGAUUUGACUUUCUGAAUUGAAGCAAUAAACUCACUUCGAAAGGAAGCAACAACACCAUCCACCAUUGUUUGAAAAUCCUGCAAACAUUUCUGCAUCUGCUCAUCAAAUUUUUGUUUCAUGGACUCAACAAAGUCAUCAAAAAGCCCACGAAUACAACUAAGACGAUCAUCUGCUGCUUGCUCAGAUGGGUCAACACGUAUACUCUGCAAACCAGUAAGGAGACCAAGCGUACCACUCUGAGAAUGCACGGCGUCAACAGAAUUAGAUUGACUGCUAUUGAAUGAUGUUGUCCCCAAAACGCUGGAAUUACCGACACCACUGGAACGCGCAUCACCGGCACUAUCUUUAGCAAAUUGACUGCUAUUGGGUAAUGCACCCCUAAAAACGGUGGAGUUAGCAACACAACUGGAACGCGCAGAAUUGACUUUAUCACCAAUGCACUUCUUACAGGUGAACUGCAACGACUUGUUUGUUUUUAUUUCAUUACUAGAAAUAUUGACGCACUUAGUGUGGAAAUAAUUGGGGCAGCCAGAACACCCAAUGCUGUAAACACCACGAGUGAUGAUUUUACCACAAACAGGACACUUCCAGCUUUUAGGAAUAGCAUGUUUAACAGGUGAAGGAACCAUGAUUCAAAGGCGAACAAUGGCAAAACAAAUCAAAUGAAAUGCCGGGAAAACUAGGCAACACACAGCAACAACAACAAGAGCGCAGAGCGACGGGAGCAAAAAACCACGAAAUAAAUGUGGUAUCCAAGUACGAGAUGCAAUUAGCUUAUUAGGCAGAUGACAGCAGCGCAAAAAUUUCGUAGAUCGGAAUACGAUACACUACUUUAUUUUAAUAUUUAAUUAAUUUUUCACGGAGCUCAAUAAAAACACUUAGCUUCUCAUGAUUAUCGAUUAUCGA